GUCGAACGAAGUAGCAAUACUUAGUGGCAGACGGGUGAGUAACAUGUAGGUAUCUGCCCUUUGGCCUGGAAUAACACGAGGAAACUUGUGCUAAUACCGGAUAAGUCUUUACGGAGAAAGCUUUAUGCACCAUUGGAGGAGCCUGCACUAGAUUAGUUUGUUGGUGGGGUAAUGGCCUACCAAGACUGUGAUCUAUAGCUGAUUUGAGAGGAUGAUCAGCCACAUUGGGACUGAGACACGGCCCAAACUCCUACGGGAGGCAGCAGUGGGGAAUCUUGCACAAUGGAGGAAACUCUGAUGCAGCGAUGCCGCGUGAGUGAAGAAGGCCUUUGGGUUGUAAAGCUCUUUCGUCGGGGAAGAAAAUGACUGUACCCGAAUAAGAAGGUCCGGCUAACUUCGUGCCAGCAGCCGCGGUAAUACGAAGGGACCUAGCGUAGUUCGGAAUUACUGGGCUUAAAGAGUUCGUAGGUGGUUGAAAAAGUUAGUGGUGAAAUCCCAGAGCUUAACUCUGGAACUGCCAUUAAAACUUUUCAGCUAGAGUAUGAUAGAGGAAAGCAGAAUUUCUAGUGUAGAGGUGAAAUUCGUAGAUAUUAGAAAGAAUACCAAUUGCGAAGGCAGCUUUCUGGAUCAUUACUGACACUGAGGAACGAAAGCAUGGGUAGCGAAGAGGAUUAGAUACCCUCGUAGUCCAUGCCGUAAACGAUGUGUGUUAGACGUUGGAAAUUUAUUUUCAGUGUCGCAGGGAAACCGAUAAACACACCGCCUGGGGAGUACGACCGCAAGGUUAAAACUCAAAUGAAUUGACGGGGACCCGCACAAGUAGUGGAGCAUGUGGUUUAAUUCGAAGAUACGCGCAGAACCUUACCAACACUUGACAUGUUCGUCGCGACUU
rnacentral:rRNA from 1 species